GGCCAUGACCUUGGUGCAUGGAGUCCAGAGGGGGCUGGGGAAGACCUUCUCUUCACACUCGAGGAUGCACACCUGCAAAGAUACGGGUGUGGGGAGAGAUGCCAUCAUCAGACCAGAGCCCAGCAGACCCGCUCGGCUCCUAGGAACACUCUGCUCUGCCUCUCCUGCCAACCCUGACUUCUAGCCACCAGCUGGACCACGAUGUUUCUCCAGCCCCUCUUGGCUGGUUCUGACCUUGGCCCCCCACCUCCCACGUUCUUGGUUCUGAUUGGGUCUCCUGGAAGCCUCUGCCCCCAGCUUUUCUUCCUAUUUGCUGUUUUGGCUUCACCCCUAAUUUCAGUCCAGGUUUCUGGCCUUAGCCGGCUGGAAACCCCACUUCAACCUGACCUUACUGCUGUGAGUCAGUAGGCAGAGCUCCUCAUCAUAGCGUGGAGCUCCUGCCUGGCUUCCAGGUCACCUUCUGGGGCAGAGGCUGCAACUGGCCCGUAUUCAUCUCCCCUUCUCCUUAUGCACAGAACACUGUUUUAUUCCUAAAGGCAACGUAUAUGUUUCCCAAGCUUCCUUGGAGCCAUAAGUAGCUGACGACAUAAAAAUGGAAGUGUAGGC
rnacentral:lncRNA from 1 species